rnacentral:lncRNA from 12 species
CUUCAGAGCCAGAAUAAUUCCCCACCAAGGCCUUCACCUUUCUCCUCUAGGAAAAAAAAUUACUCACCAAUAGAACAGGUUGGAGCUGCCAGAACGAUGGUUAUCGCUGUGGGGACCCCGCCCCACCUGGAGACUAAGUGACUCCCAACUUCCUCCCCCACCCCGACUCUCCUUUCUGCCCCCAGGUCAGGGAGAGGUGCCUGGGGCCAGGUGGGGGGAGCAAGGGGGGUGACUUCCAGAAGGCGCCUCCUCCUGCAGGUAGGGACACUAGCGUUCCCAUGGCCCCUUGUCCCAGGAAGUGGGGGCAGGAGGGGAUGGCAGGUUCCAGCCCAUUCUGGAAGAGCCCCAAGAUUUAAGGACCACUUUCAGAGUAUGUUUGAGGGGUAGCAGCCUUCCCUGAAGGCAGAAAAAGAAUGGCACAAUUAGGACACAAAAACACAGAAAGCCCAGUGCCCCUGUGCUUGGUGGCCAUCUUUCCUUUAAGCCAAUGAACCAGAGGCUGAGUGGGGGCUCUCAUGAGCAGAAGGUGCCCAGGCCAACCCUACCCUCAGUUCUUGUCCACCAGACUCAGCUGCCAAUUUUCCCUCAGGCCUGACACCGGGGCUCCUUUCCCGGCCCAGGAGAGAAUUGUCUCAUAAUCAACGGCCCUGUGUCUCGGGCUUGACAUCACUGGGGGGCAGCUCAACUGGUUUAAGGGUGUGUUUCUGCUUCCUUACAGGCUCUGGACCCGACACCCCAUCACCCUAGCCACCCCCCACAUCCCCUGCACCUUCAUGGAGAAGCCCUGAAACUCAGCUGGGUGGAGGAGGAGUGCCCUGCUAACCACUUAAAAGGGCCUGGGGAACAUUUCCAGCCUGCCAUGGGAAGCCUCGAGGUCGGAUGGAGAGAGGCUGAGUGCAGUUGUGAGGCUGAAGCAGAGAGAAUGCUACCAGACAUGAGAUGAGCUGGUUGGUAGGCAAACGGUUCUUCAAGGAGUCUUUGUAGCAGCUAGGAC